GACGAACGCUGGCGGCGUGCUUAACACAUGCAAGUCGAGCGGUAAGGCCCUUUCGGGGUACGACGAGCGGCGAACGGGUGAGUAACACGUGGGUGACCUGCCUUUAGCUCUGGGAUAAGCCUGGGAAACCGGGUCUAAUACCGGAUAUGACUCCGCGGCGCAUGUUGUGGGGUGGAAAGCCUUGUGCGGCUGGAGAUGGGCCCGCGGCCUAUCAGCUUGUUGGUGGGGUGAUGGCCUACCAAGGCGACGACGGGUAGCCGGCCUGAGAGGGCGACCGGCCACACUGGGACUGAGACACGGCCCAGACUCCUACGGGAGGCAGCAGGUGGGGAAUCUUGCGCAAUGGGCGAAAGCCUGACGCAGCGACGCCGCGUGAGGGAUGACGG
rnacentral:rRNA from 1 species